UUUAAAAAUGUACUCCGUUCUCCAACUCCUGAAAUGCCUCUGCAGUUGCUGGAGAAAAGGGCCCGAAGGUCGCCGUUUUCAAACAGAAGCUGCCGUGUGUGCGCGCCCGGCAUGGUCUCCUCAUCCCGCCGGGGCCAGUGAGACUCUGGGGGCUUUGCCCCCGCCGCGGCAGCUGGUAGAGAAGAGACGUGUUUCACCUCCCCGACGUCUGGACCAGUCUGGAAGGGAUGGAGACGCUGUGGCCAAGUGCAGUCUCUCUCGGGGUCUCUCCCCGCCCGGGUGGACAGGGCGCUCCCUCCUCCGCCCCUGGGGCUCAGCAGCAGCCCUGGGCAGCCGUGCGGCCCUCGCCUGCGUCCUGCGGCCGUCCCGCGGUGUCAUGCCGGCAACAAUACGAAGUCGUCGUUGACGUCGACCAUGGGCACGUAGAAGGAGGGCACCUCGUUCACGCACAGGGACUUGUGCCCGGCGGGGUCCAGUUCCUGCACCUUCAGCUGCCACUCCAUCCUCUGCACGGCGUUCAGGGCCGCGGCCUCGUGCUGCUGCCGCAUGAGGAGGAAAGUCUUCCAUGUGUCUUUAUGAAGCUUUCAGUUUUUUCUCACGGCUCUGGUUAGGAAGGGCCUAGUGGCCUGGGGAGGGUGUGGUGUGAGUGACUUCCUGCACCAUCAUCUUAGGGCUGGCCAGAAAUGCACACUCAGCUACACCUGAGACCUGAGUUCCUCAGCACAAGCCCCCAGGGGCCACGCUCCCCAAAUACCCACGGCUCCCACCGGGUAGGGCUGGUGGUUCUCAUCUGUGCCCAUAUCAGCACCUUUCUGAGAGCUGCAGUAUGACACACGGGUGCUUGGUUCAGGGACCUGGGUGGUGCUGAGCCUGAUACUGCAGGUAGCCGGGGCUGCCUGCUCCCAGGCCUGGCUGGUGACUGUACAGGGUGACGCUGACUGUAAAGUUCUGUAACUUGGCAAGUUUCCGCUUUCCGUUGCCUCCUGGCGGAUCCUCCAGGGUGUCCCGGUGAGCAGCCCUCGCGACCGGGAUAAGGGUGUGCUGCCCUUCCCGGCACCUGCCCUGCCCCUGCCCGCCGCCCUGGCCAGCACUUCCAGAGCAGUGGAGGGUGAAUGCUGGGACCUUAGAGGGGGCUCACAGGGCAGUCCCAGGAGUUCUGACCAUCAAGCCUAGGGUCCUGUUCAGCUGGCGACAGGAGCCGCUGCCUGCACACCGGGACAGAAGGGAAGACUGAGGAGGCCACAAGCAGGGACAGGACCUCACCUCCCUGAAAGCAUCGGCCAGAUUAAGAGAAUCUGAAAUUGUCACCGCCCAUCACAGAACUGGGCAGCGGCCUCCCCCAGGCAGAACUGAGGGACGCGCGACACCGACCUUCAUGCGGUCAUACUUGUCAUCCACAUCCUGGAGCCAGGAGAUGAACUGGCGGGCGUUGAAACGGUCGCGCACUGACUUGUUCUCGUCACCCUGUGGAAACCAAACACGGGAGUUUCAUCAGGAGCCCCAGAGACCGCUACGGGAAGGCAUGCCAGCCUGGGCGAUGCUGCAGUGACCGUUCUCAAGGGAAAACCAAAGGGGGAGCCUCAUUCCACCGCGCACACACUGAAUCACGUUCAAGGCAUGGCAGGCGCACCCUGCCCAUCUCCCUAAACAGCUUCCCUAAAAUGCGCGUGGAGGCAGCUGGGCCUUUGUCUCCUGGGCACCGGGUGCCCGCGGGCCCCACCUGUGAGCCGGUCCCCAGCCCUGCCCCCAUGGGACAGUCAGAGCUCAGCCCACUGCCAACUCCUGGGAGAGACUUUUUUUUUUUUUUUUAGAGACAGAGUUUUGCUUGUUGCCCAGGCUGGAGUGCAAUGGUGCGAUCCUGGCUCACCGCAGCCUCCACCUCCGGGGUUCAAGCGAUUCUCCUGCUUCAGCCUUCCUGAGUAGCUGGGAUUACAGGCAGCCACCACGCCCAGCUAAUUUUGUAUUUUUAGUAGAGACGGGGUUUCUCCUGGGCGAGACUUUCUAGAUAUGUCACCGUCCUGUGUCCUGAAGGGUGGACACGGAUAAGAUGUCCAGGCUCCUCCCCUUUUUGACGGGUUCAUGGUGAAGCUGACAAUGCCGUCUGUUUCUCAGAACAUGUGGAGCACCGACAGAAACCCACUCACCUGCAGGGAACUCACUUUCCACAAAGGUGCCAAGAACAGAAUAACGAUCACAGGGAAAGGACAGUCUCUGCCAUAAACGGUGCUGGGAAAACGGGCUACGCAUCGCAGAAGAGUGAAACGAGACCCUAGCUCUCGCCACAUACAAACAUCAAGCCAAAAUGGAUCAAAGUCUGGAAUCCAAGACCUUAAACGAUGAAACCACUACAAGAAAACACUGGGGAAAAUCUCCAGGACAUUGGCCUGGGCAAACAUUUCUCAAGCAAUACCCCGAAGCACAGGCAACCAAAGCAAAAAUGGACAAAUGGGAUCACAUCAAGUUCAAAAGCUUCUGCCCAGCAAAGGACACAGUCAACAGGGUGAAAAGACACGCACAGAAUGGGAGGAAACGCCUGCAAACCGCUCCUCUCACACGGAUUCACAACCAGAACAUAGAAGGCAUGCAAUUAACUCGAUAUGAAAAAAUCUAAUAAUCCCAUCAAAAAAACGGGCAAAAGAUCUGAAUAGACGUUUCUCAAAGGAGACACACAAAUGGCCAACAGGUAUCUGAAGAGGAGCUCAACAUCAUUGAUCAUCAGAGAAAUGCAAUUCAAAACUACCAUGAGACAUCACCUCACCCCGGUUAAAAUGGCCUUUAUCCAAAAGACAGACAAUCACAAAUGCUCGCGAGGAUGUGGGGAAAAGGGAACCCUCGUACCCCGUUGGUGGGAAUGUAAAUUAAAACAGCCGCUGUGGAGAACAGUUUGGCGUUUCCUCAAAAAACUAAAAAUUGAGCUACCAUAGGAUCCAGCAAUCCCACUGCCGGGUAUAGACCCAAAAGAAAGAAAUCGGGGGCCAGGCACGGUGGCUCACGCCUGUAAUCCCAGCACUUUGGGAGGCUGAGGCGGGCAGAUCACCUGAGGUCAAGAGUUUCAGACUAGCCUUGCCAACAUGGUGAAAUCCCAUCUCUACUAAAAAUACAAAAAUUAGCCAGGUGUGGUGGUGUGCGCCUGUGAUCCCAGCUACCCACCCGGGAGGCAGUGGCUGCAGUGAGCUGAGAUUGUGCCACUGCUCUCCAGCCUGGGUGACAGAGGAAGACUCAGAAUCACAAAAAGGAAAAGGAAUCAGUAUAUUGAAACGGUGUCCACACUCCCAUAUUUAACGCAACCCCAUUUACUAUAGCUAAGGCUUGUGUCCAUCAACAGAUGAAUGGAUAAAGAAUAUGUGCUACAUACACAACGGAGUACUAUUCAGCCACAAAAAAGAAUGAGAUCCUGUCAUUUGCAAACACGUGGAUGGAACUGGAGGUCAUGAUGUUAAGUGAAAUAAGCAUAGAAAGACAAACAUCACAUGUUCUCUCUCACUUGUGGGAUCUAAAAAUCAGAACAAUUGAGCUCAUGGACACAGAGUAGAAGGACGGUUACCAGAGGCUGGGAAGGGUUGUGGGGGGCUGGCAGGGAGGUAGAAAUGGUUAAUGGGUACC
rnacentral:antisense_RNA from 1 species